UGUAGCCGUUGGAUAAAAAUCCAACGGCCCAUGAUAACUGGUCAGGAAGAUCCUCUCCAUUAGCUCAGGAGAGGAUCCAAAUCCAACCUCCGCAACUCACCCCACUCUCUCUAACUCGCCGAGGACCACCACCCACAACCACCAUCUCUUACGGCUUGGUUCAACACAAAAUCACUAGAAAUAGAUUUUGGGUUGCCUGAGCAUCACAUCAGUGGCUCUGCAUGGACCACCUGCGCAUGGCAGAGUUUCGAACUCACUGAACCGUGAGCUUCGAGUCUUCCCCGUCGGUCCCAGUUUCGACUGGUGUGUACGGCCGAACUCCGGCGAGUUUGUUGCUGUGGGUGCAGGGAUCCCUUCGAAUUCGAACCCAGAUGAAGUUGCUAGUGAGGGAAUUUUUAAUCUUUAUCAGCACAACUCUACUGCUAAGGAGUAUCUGUAUUAGAAACGAGGACUACGACACAACGUACGAGGCAUUCCCCUACUAGUAGCAAUCUAUCACUCACUUGUGUGAUAUUCUGUAAUGAUCUUUCCUUUGUGAAAUUUUUUAGAAAGUAUUUGUGCACUCUAGACACUUCAUUAAGCUUUGUUUAUUACUUCUAGAUUCUAAUGUUUAUUCAUGAAUAUU